rnacentral:rRNA from 1 species
AACGAACGCUGGCGGCAGGCCUAACACAUGCAAGUCGGACGCACUGCCCCCUUCGGGGGGCUGUGCAGAGAUCAGAUAUCGGAUGGCAGAUAUCAGAGAUCAGAGUGGAGCGCGGAUGCGAGCGCGAGCCUUUCUGACAUCUGACAUCUGACAUCUGGCAUCUGGCAUCUGCACUGCCCUCGCGGAGGGCAGUGAGUGGCGGACGGGUGAGUAACGCGUGGGAAUUUUCCUCAAGGUAGGGAACAACUCAGGGAAACUUGGGCUAAUACCCUAUGAUGCAGAGAUGCCAAAGAUUUUAUCGCCUUGGGAUGAGCCCGCGUCAGAUUAGGUAGUUGGUGGGUAACGGCCUACCAAGCCUGCGAUCUGUAGCUGGUCUGAGAGGACGAUCAGCCACAC